GGGGAGAGGACAAAACCUUCAGAGCUGGUGGAAGUUACGGCCCGCGUGUCUUGGAUCUUCCUUAAAUUAACGCAAAACAGCCCUAAGUUCCUGCAUUUUUGCAGCGUUUCAUCUGACAUUGAACUCAAACAUCUAUAGAAUCAGGGUUGUUAUAUGCCAUGAUGGCAAUGACAAAUGGUGCAUCAGAAGAUAUCUUCCAAGCAUAAUGCCUCAGCAAGAUGCUGCUUUAUCACCUGUGAUGUUCUCAGAUACUGAGUUAAGGUAGUGUAUGUAUGUCCAACCAGAAACUGUGUGUAUAGAAGAAUGCUAAGAUUGUAGCUCAAAGUUAUGCAGGUUACCUGGUCACAGUAGGGAAGGACCUUAUUAAAUUAUGUGUUGAAUUCAAGGAUGCAUAGACAAACUUAGGACUUUUCUAGCAUAUAUGUUGCAAUGAGUACAUAAAUUAAGUUGAGCACAUAUUAUUUCAUAAUUACAUAAGUAGUAAUGCAUGUGGCACUAGGGAUGAAUUGAACACACCAGCCCACUGAGAAUUCCAUCCUAUCUCAUAGGAGGACUUUAUAACAUCAGCAUUAAUAGAGUUUGAAUGUCAUAUCAUACUUCAAGACAAAACUGAGAGCCCAACUUUUAUGCUGUGGAAUCCCAUCAGCAGUGGCUCCUAACACAGUUGAACCCACAGGGCACUAGGGUGAGCCUUUGGCAGCAGGGAGAGGCUGGUGCUGGCUCUGCAGCACGUGUGGGAGCCAGGCAGUUCCAGUGUACCCUGGGUGUUGGGGGGGGUGAGAUGCGCUUUGCCAAGGUGGAGUGGGUUUGUAGCUUAGCUGCUGGAGGGUGGAGGAAAAAGCAGUCUCAGAACACAUGGAUUAUAUGAUUCAUAGAAUCAUAGAAUUGCCUGGGUUGAACAGGACCACUGUGAUCAUCCAGUUUCAA